rnacentral:rRNA from 1 species
UACGUAGGGGGCAAGCGUUGUCCGGAAUCAUUGGGCGUAAAGAGCGUGUAGGCGGCCCGAUAAGUCCGCCGUGAAAGUCCAGGGCUCAACCCUGGAAUGCCGGUGGAAACUGUCGGGCUGGAGUCCGGAAGAGGAGAAUGGAAUUCCCGGUGUAGCGGUGAAAUGCGCAGAUAUCGGGAAGAACACCCGUGGCGAAGGCGGUUCUCUGGGACGGUACUGACGCUGAGACGCGAAAGCGUGGGGAGCGAACAGG